AAAACUGACCUCUCUUUUGGGCACUCACUCAUCUCUCCAUUCGUUUACAGGAGCAGUAUGGUACAUUGAAGGGUUAUUUGUUUUUUUAUUUACUUUCGCCCUUGAACUGCUUCUUUACUGUAAGGAAAGAUAAGGGACAGGACUAAAUGGAGAAGACUCAUAAAUGGCAGCAAAAGAAGAAGGUUACUUAAGUUAGUUAGUUUUUUUUUUUAUUCAUUACGCAUUGAAAAGUGUAACUAUAGCGAAAGGAAUCCAAGAAGGUAGCUUUCAAUAGGACCAACUAAACAUGUAGAAUGGUUUCAUUUGUUUUAUUCCAAUAGAUAUACAACAAUUAGGUUUUUAUUUGUUUGUUACACGUAGAAAAGAAGAUAUAAAAAGGAGCACUGAGCAGCUGUUUAUAUUUUCAAAGGUUUUCCCAUCAACAGCUAGAGUAUUCAGCCAUAACCUGAAAAUGGUACAUGAGAGAGAGAGAGAGAGGAAGGCUUUGCGAGCUGCAUAUACAAGGUGCUGAACAGUCGACCUUGUCAUCCUGAGCAAGCAUUAUAAUACCUAGAGAGAGAGAGAGAGAGAGAAUGUAGAGGAAGGCUUUGCGAGCUGCAUAUACAAGUUGCUGAACAGUCGACCUCGUUAGCCAGAGUAUCCUGAGCAAGCAUUAUAAUACCUAGAUAAGGGGCACGUUCGGCAGUCUGUACUCACCUCCCAGCGAGUGAUCAUCGGAAUGGUGUGUAUGAAGUGGUGAACAUACAUUAGCCUACUCAUACAGCAGAGUUCAGUGGCUGUUCUUAUUCCCUUAUUGAGAGAUGUGAACUAUUAUGAAGUCAGAAUCCAUCGGCAGCUGCUUAACUGUUUUCAACUUUUCAUUAUAGAUAUCACAUACAUUAGCCUACUCAUACAGCAGAGUUCAAUGGCUGUUCUUCAAGCUUUCCCUUACUGAGAGAUGUGAACUAUUACGAAGCCAGAAUCCAUCGGCAGCUGAUAAACUGUUUUCAACUUUUCAUUAUGAUUUCACACUUUCACUUCCAUUUAUUUAUUUUUUCUUUUGCAUACCUCAGCCAUACUAUCACUAAGAGAGAGUUGAUAUGUUGAAUUUAGCCAUUAAAUUGUAGAGGGGGUUCAUACGAAGCUCAGGGAAUCAAAUCUGGCAUACUGACAUGACUGAAACUAAUCUCAACGGAAUGGCCGGGAAAGAGAGCGUUUGCAAUAUGAACAGAAGAUCCACCUUCACAUGCUAACACACUGUUCUUGUAUGAAUUAUAGGAAACUGGGCCCAUAUUUCCAAACAUUUCGGGGUUCACACACCCACAAUUGAUAAGGCUUUCGUUGAGGUUGUGGGUAUUUCCAUAGGCAAUUUUAAGAGCCUAGUGAUAGUUUUACAAGGCUUCUGCUGCACCGCGAGCGCGGAAAGCACUCCUGAGAACACGACUACUCUCCCUUGUGGCCUUUGGAAAUAGUUGUGAGAGCCAAAAGCGUCUGAGAAUACGUGCCCUGUGUCUCGAAACUUCGUAGUGAAAUCUAUAUAUGGUUAAAUGUCCUGCUGGCAUUGUUCCCCAUCCCUACAUCUAGCCAGCGAGUUUGCAUCCUAUAACAGUAUAUUGCUACAUGAUUUAUAACACCACUCAGUCGAUUCUUGAAUGCCUACGUUUAGAAAAAAGGCAAAAAAUCUAAUCAUCUAAUACAUCUGAUAAGUAGCGCAGGUGUGAACUCUACAUGACCUUAAGUACGCCAUUAUCUAUAUGUAAGACCUCUAAUACGCCAUUAUCUAUGAACAUCAUGAUGAUUACAGUAUUUGUUGUAACAUUUUGCUGAAGGUUUUGAUAAGUCAACGGUAGUAUAUGUCUUGCCAUUCACAUAAGAAGGUAGAGAAAGAGGGAAAGGGAGGGAAGGAGGCUUAUGUGUUCUGGUAAUCCUUGUGAUCAGAGAGAGAGAGAGAGAGAGAGAGAGAGAGAGAGAGAGAGAGAGAGAGUCUUAAAAUGAUAAAAUUCGCUACAUGUUGCGUAUUUUCUUCACAGUGCGGAUGAGAUUGAGUCAUUCUUGGUGAUAUCUCGAGAGCAGGCGACUAACAGUAACUACCCACAACACUUCACCUCUAGAUGCUGUGGGGAGUUAAGAUGAAGAAUUGUGAUGCUUAGGGCGCUGAGAUGCAGAAAAAAGAUGCUGAAGGCCUGUGCCUCACGGGCGUCAUGCCGCGCGGGGCGACGCACUGGGCGGUGCCGGCGCUGCUGCUGCUGCUGUGCGUGCCAAGCCUCGCCACGAGACAGAAUGCAACGGUCGAACUGGAGCAGCAAGGUGAAGGUGAGGAUCUGCUUUUGUGUGUGUGUGUGUGUUUGUUCGUGUGUGUGUGUGUGUGUGUGUGUGUGUGUGUGUGUGUGUGUGUGUGUGUGUGUGUG